GACGAACGCUGGCGGCGUGCUUAACACAUGCAAGUCGAACGGAAAGGCCCUGCUUUUGUGGGGUGCUCGAGUGGCGAACGGGUGAGUAACACGUGAGUAACCUGCCCUUGACUUUGGGAUAACUUCAGGAAACUGGGGCUAAUACCGGAUAGGAGCUCCUGCUGCAUGGUGGGGGUUGGAAAGUUUCGGCGGUUGGGGAUGGACUCGCGGCUUAUCAGCUUGUUGGUGGGGUAGUGGCUUACCAAGGCUUUGACGGGUAGCCGGCCUGAGAGGGUGACCGGCCACAUUGGGACUGAGAUACGGCGCAGACUCCUACGGGAGGCAGCAGUGGGGAAUAUUGCACAGUGGGCGGAAGCCUGAGGCAGCAACGCCGCGUGCGGGAUGACGGCCUUCGGGUUGUGAACCGCUUUCGACUGUGACGAAGCGUGAGUGACGGUAAUGGGUAAAGAAGCACCGGCUAACUACGUG
rnacentral:rRNA from 1 species